UACGUAGGGUGCGAGCGUUGUCCGGAAUUAUUGGGCGUAAAGAGCUCGUAGGCGGUGUGUCACGUCGGCCGUGAAAACCUGCAGCUUAACUGUGGGCGUGCGGUCGAUACGGGCAUCACUAGAGUUCGGCAGGGGAGACUGGAAUUCCUGGUGUAGCGGUGAAAUGCGCAGAUAUCAGGAGGAACACCGGUGGCGAAGGCGGGUCUCUGGGCAGUAACUGACGCUGGAGGAGCGAAAGCGUGGGGAGCGAACAGG
rnacentral:rRNA from 1 species